rnacentral:rRNA from 1 species
UACGUAGGGGGCUAGCGUUGUCCGGAAUCAUUGGGCGUAAAGCGCGUGUAGGCGGUCCGGUAAGUCCGCUGUGAAAGUCGGGGGCUCAACCCUCGAAUGCCGGUGGAUACUGUCGGGCUAGAGUGCGGAAGAGGCGAGUGGAAUUCCUGGUGUAGCGGUGAAAUGCGCAGAUAUCAGGAAGAACACCUAUGGCGAAGGCAGCACUCUGGGACGGUACUGACGCUGAGACGCGAAAGCGUGGGGAGCGAACAGG